rnacentral:misc_RNA from 1 species
UAAAAAUAAAAAAAAAAAAAAAUAGAAAAAAUAUUUAUAUAUAUAAUAUAUAUAUAAUUAGAAUAUAUAAAUAUGUAGAAUAUAGAAAUAUGAAUAUGUUUCUAUUUAAAUAGUCUAUUUAAUAGUUAUUAACAAUAUAUAAACAAUAUAAAAUAACCAUAUAUUCUAGUUAGUUAUUAUAGAUUUUUAACUAUAUAAUUUAACUAAUAUAAUUAUAUUAUAUUAUAUAGUUAUAGUUUGUUCCAGCUAAAUUAUAGUUUGUUCUAGCUAAAUAGACUAUAAUAUCUCCAUAUUAAUAGAUUCUAUAUUAAUAGAAUAAAUUCAAAUUAAUAAAAAAAAAAUAUAUAAUAAUGUAAUAAAAUGUACUAAGAGAAAUGCAAUUGUAAUAAGAAAAUUAGAAAAUUUCUAAUUUUCUAAUUAAUAAUAAUAAUAAUAAAUAAUAAAUUAUAAUAAAAAUAAUUAUAGUUAUAAUAAGAAAUAAUUAUAGAUAAAUAAUUAUAGAAUAAUAAUAAAUUAAAUAAUAAUAAAAUA